AUUGAACGCUGGCGGCAUGCCUUACACAUGCAAGUCGAACGGAUUCAGGGGCUUGCUCCUGAGUUAGUGGCGAACGGGUGAGUAAUGCAUCGGAACGUACCCAGUUGUGGGGGAUAACGUAGCGAAAGUUACGCUAAUACCGCAUACGACCUGAGGGUGAAAGCGGGGGACUCGCAAGAGCCUCGCGCAAUUGGAGCGGCCGAUGUCAGAUUAGCUAGUUGGUAGGGUAAAAGCCUACCAAGGCGACGAUCUGUAGCUGGUCUGAGAGGACGACCAGCCACACUGGGACUGAGACACGGCCCAGACUCCUACGGGAGGCAGCAGUGGGGAAUUUUGGACAAUGGGCGAAAGCCUGAUCCAGCCAUGCCGCGUGAGUGAAGAAGGCCUUCGGGUUGUAAAGCUCUUUCGGACAGAAAGAAAUCGCACGAACUAAUACUUUGUGCGGAUGACGGUACUGUAAGAAGAAGCACCGGCUAACUACGUGCCAGCAGCCGCCGUAAAAC
rnacentral:rRNA from 1 species